GAUGAACGCUGGCGGCGUGCCUAAUACAUGCAAGUAGAACGCUGAAGCUUGGUGCUUGCACCGAGCGGAUGAGUUGCGAACGGGUGAGUAACGCGUAGGUAACCUGCCUCUUAGCGGGGGAUAACUAUUGGAAACGAUAGCUAAUACCGCAUAAAAGUCGAUAUCGCAUGAUAUUGAUUUGAAAGGUGCAAAUGCAUCACUAAGAGAUGGACCUGCGUUGUAUUAGCUAGUUGGUGAGGUAACGGCUCACCAAGGCGACGAUACAUAGCCGACCUGAGAGGGUGAUCGGCCACACUGGGACUGAGACACGGCCCAGACUCCUACGGGAGGCAGCAGUAGGGAAUCUUCGGCAAUAGGGGCAACCCUGACCGAGCAACGCCGCGUGAGUGAAGAAGGUUUUCGGAUCGUAAAGCUCUGUUGUAAGAGAAGAACGAGUGUGAGAGUGGAAAGUUCACACUGUGACGGUAACUUACCAGAAAGGGACGGCUAACUACGUG
rnacentral:rRNA from 1 species